rnacentral:rRNA from 1 species
GGGUUGUGAGGUUAAGCGACUAAGCGUACACGGUGGAUGCCUAGGCAGUCAGAGGCGAUGAAGGGCGUGCUAAUCUGCGAAAAGCGUCGGUAAGGUGAUAUGAACCGUUAUAACCGACGAUACCCGAAUGGGGAAACCCAGUGCAAUUCGUUGCACUAUCGUUAGAUGAAUACAUAGUCUAACGAGGCGAACCGGGGGAACUGAAACAUCUAAGUACCCCGAGGAAAAGAAAUCAACCGAGAUUCCCCCAGUAGCGGCGAGCGAACGGGGAAGAGCCCAGAGUCUGAAUCAGGUUGUGUGUUAGUGGAAGCGUCUGGAAAGUCGCACGGUACAGGGUGAUAGUCCCGUACACCAAAACACACCUCCUGUGAACUCGAUGAGUAGGGCGGGACACGUGACAUCCUGUCUGAAUAUGGGGGGACCAUCCUCCAAGGCUAAAUACUCCUGACU